rnacentral:rRNA from 1 species
GGUCAAGCGAUGAAGCGCACACGGUGGAUGCCUAGGCAGCCAGAGGCGAUGAAGGACGUGGAAGCCUGCGAUAAGGCUCGGCGAGGUGGCAAACAACCUGCGACCCGGGCAUUUCCGAAUGGGGAAACCCACUCAGGGGAACCUGAGUAUCUCAUGCUGAAUACAUAGGCAUGAGAGGCGAACCGGGGGAACUGAAACAUCUCAGUACCCCGAGGAAAAGAAAUCAACCGAGAUUCCCCCAGUAGCGGCGAGCGACCGGGGAGUAGCCCUUAAGCAUGACAACCGAUAGGCGAACAGGCUGGGAAGCCUGACGAUACAGGGUGAUAGUCCCGUAGCCGAAAUCCGCGUCAUGUGAAAUCGAGUAGGUCGGGGCACGUGUAACCUUGACUGAAGAACGGGGGGACCAUCCUCCAAGGCUAAAUACU